rnacentral:rRNA from 1 species
UACAGAGGGUGCGAGCGUUGUCCGGAAUCACUGGGCGUAAAGGGCGCGUAGGCGGCUCGGUCAGCGUGCGGUGAAAGCCCGGGGCUCAACCCCGGGUCGGCCGUGCGAACUGCUGGGCUGGAGCACUGUAGAGGCAGGUGGAAUUCCGGGUGUAGCGGUGGAAUGCGUAGAGAUCCGGAAGAACACCGGUGGGCGAAGGCGGCCUGCUGGGCAGUAGCUGACGCUGAUGCGCGACAGCGUGGGGAGCAAACAGG